CUUUUGAGCAGGUAACUCUUCUAUUGGGGCCAUAACUGAGGCAUAUUUUAAAUCAGAAAGGGAGAAUAUCGUUUUUAUUCUGAAUCUGAAUACUCCUUAAAAAUAAUAAUUCUUGGAUGGUAUUUUUGUAUUUAAUUCAUUUCAGUCUUUCCUGUGUGUUUAUUUUGUGUUCAGCCCUGCAUAGGUGAUAAAUUUGUAACCAUACCCCCUCUCUAGCCCAUCCCUCUUUAAUACCACCCUAGGACAAGACCAUGAAUAGUCCUGCCUUUCCUGGCCCCUCCAAUUCCUCCUUUCCCUGAGGUACAUACAGGCAUUGUGCAUACAGAAGUUACCUGUGUUUGUAAUUCACAAACCCCAAAGAGCAGUGAAGAAAAAAGGAAUGAAUCCUACAUGAUUACAAAGAAGGAGGGGACAAAGCUGGCUCCAGGUACUCAGUUAUUUCUGAGUAUUGCUCUGUGCCUGGCACUGUGCUGUACAUUGAGGAUAUGAAGAUGAGUAAGUCUCAGUCUAUAUCUUUAGAGACCUCACAGCCUGGAAGGAGAGUUAAAAAAUAAUUGCUAUUCAACAUGGCAAUGGUUAUAAAGGAGCAGAUUUUCCAAACUGGUGUUUCAAGGAACAUUCUUUGGCAGGAUGUUAAGUAAGUGUACCACGAAAAAGAAGUAUUUUGAGUUAAAAUAACUUUAGGAAAUGCUGGG
rnacentral:lncRNA from 1 species